rnacentral:rRNA from 1 species
UGGGGAAUAUUGGACAAUGGGGGCAACCCUGAUCCAGCAAUGCCGCGUGUGUGAAGAAGGUCUUCGGAUUGUAAAGCACUUUCGACGGGGACGAUGAUGACGGUACCCGUAGAAGAAGCCCCGGCUAACUUCGUGCCAGCAGCCGCGGUAAUACGAAGGGGGCUAGCGUUGCUCGGAAUGACUGGGCGUAAAGGGCGUGUAGGCGGUUUACACAGUCAGAUGUGAAAUCCCCGGGCUUAACCUGGGAGCUGCAUUUGG